UCUUACCUGCAUUUUCUCCACUUUGGGCUUCCCUUUGGUGUCCCACUUCUUUUACCCACAUUUUCUCCACUUUUGGCUUCUCUGAGGUGUCCCGAUUCUUUUACCCGCAUUUUCUCCACUUUUGGCUUCCCUGAGGUGUCCCGAUUCUUUUACCCGCAUUUUCUCCACUUUUGGCUUCCCUGAGGUGUCCCACUUCUUUUACCCGCAUUUUCUCCACUUUUGGCUUCCCUGAGGUGUCCCGAUUUUUUUACCCGCAUUUUCUCCACGUUUGGCUUCCCUUUGGUGUCCCACUUCUUUUACCCAUAUUUUCUCCACUUUUGGCUUCCCUUUGGUGUCCCGCUUCUUUUACCCACAUUUUCUCCACUUUUGGCUUCCCUUUGGUGUCCCGCUUCUUUUACCCACAUUUUCUCCACUUUUGGCUUCCCUGAAGUGUCCCAAUUCUUCAGUCCAAACUGCACCGUUUUCCUUCUUGUAGACAUGCCAGAACUCCAUGUUCUUGACAUUUUCUUGACUUUCUUUCCGCGUCAAAUGAGAGCGGCUUAAGUAUGCACAUAAAUGAGCGGUGAGGAGAUGCUGGAUUUUGCGUCUUUCUGCAACAACGCUUGCUGUAUGAUGAGGAAAAAAAUGACAGACCUGCAUUGAGCAUUCUUAGCGCGGGGGUGCAUGAAUUUUUUUGCAGCAUAUUGAUUAAAUCAAGCGCC